rnacentral:rRNA from 1 species
GACGGAGGAUGCAAGUGUUAUCCGGAAUCACUGGGCGUAAAGCGUCUGUAGGUGGUUUAAUAAGUCAACUGUUAAAUCUUGAGGCUCAACCUCAAAAUCGCAGUCGAAACUAUUAGGCUAGAGUAUAGUAGGGGUAAAGGGAAUUUCCAGUGGAGCGGUGAAAUGCGUAGAGAUUGGAAAGAACACCGAUGGCGAAGGCACUCUGCUGGGCCGACACUGACACUGAGAGACGAAAGCUAGGGGGAGCGAAUGGG